UACAGAGGUCCCGAGCGUUGUUCGGAUUUACUGGGCGUAAAGGGCGCGUAGGCGGCGUGACAAGUCACUUGUGAAAUCUCCGGGCUUAACCCGGAGCGGCCAAGUGAUACUGUCGUGCUAGAGUGCGGAAGGGGCUACUGGAAUUCUCGGUGUAGCGGUGAAAUGCGUAGAUAUCGAGAGGAACACCUGCGGCGAAGGCGGGUAGCUGGGCCGACACUGACGCUGAGGCGCGAAAGCCAGGGGAGCGAACGGG
rnacentral:rRNA from 1 species